rnacentral:rRNA from 1 species
AACGAACGCUGGCGGCAUGCCUAACACAUGCAGGUCGAACGAGACCUUCGGGUCUAGUGGCGCACGGGUGCGUAACGCGUGGGAACCUGCCCUUAGGUUCGGAAUAACUCCCCGAAAGGGGUGCUAAUACCGGAUAAUGUCUUCGGACCAAAGAUUUAUCGCCUUUGGAUGGGCCCGCGUUGGAUUAGCUAGUUGGUAGGGUAAAAGCCUACCAAGGCGACGAUCCAUAGCUGGUCUGAGAGGAUGAUCAGCCACACUGGGACUGAGACACGGCCCAGACUCCUACGGGAGGCAGCAGUGGGGAAUAUUGGACAAUGGGCGAAAGCCUGAUCCAGCAAUGCCGCGUGAGCGAUGAAGGCCUUAGGGUUGUAAAGCUCUUUUACCCGGGAUGAUAAUGACAGUACCGGGAGAAUAAGCUCCGGCUAACUCCGUG